GACGAACGCUGGCGGCGUGCUUAACACAUGCAAGUCGAACGCUGAAGCUCAGCUUUUGUUGGGUGGAUGAGUGGCGAACGGGUGAAUAACACGUGAGUAACCUGCCCCCUUCUUUGGGAUAACGCCCGGAAACGGGUGCUAAUACUGGAUAUUCACUGGUCUUCGCAUGGGGGUUGGUGGAAAGGGUUUUUCUGGUGGGGGAUGGGCUCGCGGCCUAUCAGCUUGUUGGUGGGGUGAUGGCCUACCAAGGCUUUGACGGGUAGCCGGCCUGAGAGGGUGACCGGUCACAUUGGGACUGAGAUACGGCCCAGACUCCUACGGGAGGCAGCAGUGGGGAAUAUUGCACAAUGGGCGCAAGCCUGAUGCAGCGACGCCGCGUGAGGGAUGGAGGCCUUCGGGUUGUGAACCUCUUUCGCUCAUGGUCAAGCCGCAACAAUGGUUGUGGUGAGGGUAGUGGGUAAAGAAGCGCCGGCUAACUACGUG
rnacentral:rRNA from 1 species